rfam:Candidatus Rokubacteria bacterium GWC2_70_16 gwc2_scaffold_27424, whole genome shotgun sequence.
AGGCUCGUAGCUCAGUGGGAGAGCGCUUGCUUGACACGCAAGAGGUCGGCGGUUCGAAACCGCCCGAGCCUA